rfam:Myotis brandtii contig309478, whole genome shotgun sequence.
AGAGGCCCAUCCGCGGCUGGGCGCGGAAUGCUUGCCUCGUCACCAGGGCGACAAAGCAAGCAUUCCGCCAAGGCGCUCAUGCUGCCCAC